rnacentral:tRNA from 1 species
GUAUCCGUAGCUCAGCUGGAUAGAGCGCAACCCUGCGGAGGUUGAGGUCAGAGGUUCGAAUCCUCUCGGAUACA